rnacentral:sRNA from 1 species
UACAGCCUAACUAUGGAUCAGGAGUUGC